GAUUUCAAUUUUGGAUCUUUCUAACGGAUUCCAAUACACACCUACUGAUAAAUCCGAUAGUUUUUCCAUCGACAUGGAAAGUUUCUCUCAUGGAGUAUUCGAUAAAGAAAUGAAUCCAAAUCCAAGAAUCACAAAAAUUUCCGCAGAGAAGCCUUUCACGAAAAGGGUCGCCACCAGAUUCUUUUGUUUCCUCUUCACCCAGAGGGUCGUGUAUGCCUGAAAAGCCCACUGUGGUGGUUUCCGGGACCACCGGUCCUGCCACCAACCAACAAGUUCAUCAUCAGAUCACCAUUACGACCGGCAGUAUCGCUGCAGCGACUGAAAGCAGAUUUAAUAUGAGGAGAAAUAUUUGCAGACUGCCUCCUCCGCCAUGGCUGCUUGAUCCCAA